rnacentral:rRNA from 1 species
UGAGGAAUAUUGGUCAAUGGGCGAGAGCCUGAACCAGCCAAGUAGCGUGCAGGAUGACGGCCCUAUGGGUUGUAAACUGCUUUUAUAUGGGAAUAAAGUGAGGGACGUGUCCCUUAUUGCAUGUACCAUACGAAUAAGGACCGGCUAAUUCCGUGCCAGCAGCCGCGGUAAUACGGAAGGUCCAGGCGUUAUCCGGAUUUAUUGGGUUUAAAGGGAGCGUAGGCUGUUUGUUAAGCGUGUUGUGAAAUGUAAGAGCUCAACGUUUGGAAUGCAGCGCGAACUGGCAGACUUGAGUGCGCACAACGUAGGCGGAAUUCAUGGUGUAGCGGUGAAAUGCUUAGAUAUCAUGAAGAACUCCGAUUGCGAAGGCAGCUUACGGGAGCGCAACUGACGCUGAAGCUCGAAGGUGCGGGUAUCGAACAGG